GUAGUCGUGGCCGAGCGGUUAAGGCGAUGGACGAGAAAGCCAUUGGGCUCAGCCCGCGCAGGUUCGAAUCCUGCUGACUACG
rnacentral:tRNA from 1 species